rnacentral:rRNA from 1 species
GUAGGUGGCAAGCGUUGUCCGGAAUUAUUGGGCGUAAAGCGCGCGCAGGCGGUUCUUUAAGUCUGAUGUGAAAGCCCACGGCUCAACCGUGGAGGGUCAUUGGAAACUGGAGAACUUGAGUACAGAAGAGGAAAGCGGAAUUCCACGUGUAGCGGUGAAAUGCGUAGAGAUGUGGAGGAACACCAGUGGCGAAGGCGGCUUUCUGGUCUGUAACUGACGCUGAGGCGCGAAAGCGUGGGGAGCAAACAGGAUUAGAUACCCUGGUAGUCCACGCCGUAAACGAUGAGUGCUAAGUGUUAGGGGGUUUCCGCCCCCUUAGUGCUGCAGCUAACGCAUUAAGCACUCCGCCUGGGAGUACGACCGCAAGGUUG